UGGGGAGUACGGCCGCAAGGUUAAAACUCAAAUGAAUUGACGGGGGCCCGCACAAGCGGUGGAGCAUGUGGUUUAAUUCGAUGCAACGCGAAGAACCUUACCUACUCUUGACAUCCAGCGAAUCCUUUAGAGAUAGAGGAGUGCCUUCGGGAACGCUGAGACAGGUGCUGCAUGGCUGUCGUCAGCUCGUGUUGUGAAAUGUUGGGUUAAGUCCCGCAACGAGCGCAACCCUUAUCCUUUGUUGCCAGCACGUGAUGGUGGGAACUCAAAGGAGACUGCCGGUGAUAAACCGGAGGAAGGUGGGGAUGACGUCAAGUCAUCAUGGCCCUUACGAGUAGGGCUACACACGUGCUACAAUGGCAGAUACAAAGAGAAGCGACCUCGCGAGAGCAAGCGGAACUCAUAAAGUCUGUCGUAGUCCGGAUUGGAGUCUGCAACUCGACUCCAUGAAGUCGGAAUCGCUAGUAAUCGUAGAUCAGAAUGCUACGGUGAAUACGUUCCCGGGCCUUGUACACACCGCCCGUCACACCAUGGGAGUGGGUUGCAAAAGAAGUAGGUAGCUUAACCUUCGGGAGGGCGCUUACCACUUUGUGAUUCAUGACUGGGGUGAAGUCGUAACAAGGUAACCAAGGGCGAAUUCGCGGCC
rnacentral:rRNA from 1 species